AAGACAACUUUUUUGAACCCAGUAAAUUAAGAUGCCAGGUCCUUUCUAGGGAGCCGGUAUAGGAAGAAAUAAUUUUUGGGCAUUGAUAUGAUUAUUCCAGUCUCUGCUGACACCUAGAAUCCUUAACCUUAAUCAGCACAUAUGACAGAAGGACUGCAAUGGUUUAUUGCCUGCUUAUCUCCUUUUGGCAAUAGCAGAGAGCCUUGGUUUCCUCUGACAUUCUAAGACUAUGAAAUCAUCACUGAUGAAAUCGCCUAAAGAUCAUAAAGAAAUGUGGAAGACUACUUAGCUAUUUGGUCACAAUAGAAAAGAAAAAGCAAGAUAAUUCAGAGAGUUCCUUAGUUUUAAAUUAGACAGACAGUGAUUACAAGAAAAGCACCAAGUGAAAGAUAAUCCCAGAGGUGCUGGAAUGAAUUCAAGAGGAAACAAUGAAAACUACAACCUGAAACCUGUUGAACAGCAGAUAAAAAGAACAGCAAGAGACGGGAAAUAUAUGAGAAAAUUUCCUCUUAAAGAAUCUCAGGAUUAAAAGGUCUGAAGAACAGUUUCAUGUCAUGUCCCAGAGGAGACUAGAAAGAAUUCUCCAGGUUUAGACCAAGAGGGUCCACUAAACCUCUGAAUUUUUCCUAUCUACAUUUUUUUUGUUGUUGUUUUAAUAUACUUCAUACCUUGUAUAUAUCUCCUGGUUGAACCAGAUUAUCUUAAUGCUCUUAUCCAGUGUCAAUGAUUCUCUGAUUCUAUACAUUGCCUCUUUUCCACAGUAAGUACACAAAUUAAUUUCUUUAAGAUCUGUACAUGAGACUGCUAUGUACCUUGAGAACAUUCAUUUUUCUGUCUGGUGGUCAAGAGUAUGAGCCAUCAAAAAGGCCUUUCAGCAUUUUUUCUGAUAUGUGGUCUUCUAUUGAAAAGAAAAGAUAUUAAUGCAAGCAGAUUGGGAAGUAUUUGUUCACUUGAAUGUUUAAGUUUCUGUAUUUUGAUGCCUAUUUGUUAAAGGAACUAGGGCUCUGUGAACAGUGUUGAAGAACAAGAUACUCUGCUGAUUUUUAACUAUUUGCCUAGAGGGAAUUUCAGACUGACAUCUCCAAGAGUGAUGAUGACUGAUUGAUUUUACUGGCAGUAAGAACGGAUGCUUUCAAUAUGGAUUGUUUCUUUCUCUGAAAGAAGAAAUUACCUAACAGUAGAGCCCAAGGAUAGUUUUCUAUCCUGUUUCAGUAGUGUUGAUUACUUUUUUCUUUUCCUUCGUUUGUGGACAAAUCAUAACUAACAAAUUAAUCUCUUAAACAACAUAAAGUC